rnacentral:rRNA from 1 species
AUUGAACGCUGGCGGCAUGCCUUACACAUGCAAGUCGAACGGCAGCACGGGAGCUUGCUCCUGGUGGCGAGUGGCGAACGGAUGAGUAAUACAUCGGAACGUACCCAGUAGUGGGGGAUAACGCACCGAAAGGUGCGCUAAUACCGCAUACGACCUACGGGUGAAAGCGGGGGACCGUAAGGCCUCGCGCUAUUGGAGCGGCCGAUGUCUGAUUAGCUAGUUGGCGGGGUAAAAGCCCACCAAGGCGACGAUCAGUAGCUGGUCUGAGAGGACGAUCAGCCACACUGGGACUGAGACACGGCCCAGACUCCUACGGGAGGCAGCAGUGGGGAAUUUUGGACAAUGGGGGCAACCCUGAUCCAGCAAUGCCGCGUGUGCGAAGAAGGCCUUCGGGUUGUAAAGCACUUUUGUCAGGGAAGAAAUCUUUCAGGCUAAUACCCUUGGAAGGAUGACGGUACCUGAAGAAUAAGCACCGGCUAACUACGUGCCAGCCGCCGCCGUAA